rnacentral:rRNA from 1 species
AGCCUUUAGUAGAAAAUAAGUUUGAAGGUAGUACCUGCCCGGUGAGAAUAAUUUAACGGCGGUCUUUAAGGGUCUUAAGGUAGCAUAUAAUAUAUCAAUUAAUUGUUGAAUGGAAUGAACGGAUAUACGGGGUAAAAGCUGUCUUGGUUUAGUUUAAUUGAAAUUAAUUUUAAGGUGAAAAAGCCUUGAUGACGCAGGUAGACGAGAAGUCCCCGUGAAGCUUUAGCUGGAUUGUUUUACGGUUUGUUGUUAAUAGAAAAAAUUAACAAUUAUGUUGAGUGGUUAGCUUAGGCUGGGAUGGCCCGAGGGGUAAAACCCCUACGAGAAAUGUAAAUGUUGGCAAACGUUGAACCAUUCUAAAAGGGAGUGGUUAAUGGAGUAAGUUACUCCGGGGAUAACAGCGUAAUCUUCUUGGAGAGUACUUAUUAAAAAGAGGGUUUGCGACCUCGAUGUUGAAUAUGGCUAUCCUAAUGCUAGUAGGAGGUGUUAAGGGUGAGACUGUUCGUCUUUUAAUUAGCCAAAU